GAUGAACGCUGGCGGCGUGCCUAAUACAUGCAAGUCGAGCGAACGGACGAGAAGCUUUCUUCUCUGAUGUUAGCGGCGGACGGGUGAGUAACACGUGGAUAACCUACCUAUUAGACUGGGAUAACUUCGGGAAACCGGAGCUACUACUGGAUAAUAUUUUGAACCGCAUGGUUCAAAAGUGAAAGACGGUUUUGCCGUCACUUAGAGAUGGUUCCGCGCUGCAUUAGCUAGUUGGUAAGGUAACGGCUUACCAAGGCAACGAUGCAUAGCCGACCUGAGAGGGUGAUCGGCCACACUGGAACUGAGACACGGUCCAGACUCCUACGGGAGGCAGCAGUAGGGAAUCUUCCGCAAUGGGCGAAAGCCUGACGGAGCAACGCCGCGUGAGUGAUGAAGGUCUUCGGAUCGUAAAACUCUGUUAUUAGGGAAGAACAUAUGUGUAAGUAACUGUGCACAUCUUGACGGUACCUAAUCAGAAAGCCACGGCUAACUACGUG
rnacentral:rRNA from 1 species